rnacentral:rRNA from 1 species
UACGUAGGGGGCAAGCGUUGUCCGGAAUCAUUGGGCGUAAAGAGCGUGUAGGCGGCUCGGUAAGUCCGCUCUGAAAGCCCGGGGCUCAACCCCGGGAGGCGGGCGGAUACUGUCGGGCUAGAGUCCGGAAGAGGCGAGUGGAAUUCCCGGUGUAGCGGUGAAAUGCGCAGAUAUCGGGAGGAACACCAAUGGCGAAGGCAGCUCGCUGGGACGGUACUGACGCUGAGACGCGAAGGCGUGGGGAGCAAACAGG